CAACGCGUUGCACUGCACUUAAUUGCAUCGAUCUACUUACAUUCUCCCCGUUCGCGUGAGCAAGUAAUCACGUGCCUAGCUCAGGAAAACAUAUCAAAAAUUGGGGAAAAUAUUACGGGGGGCAUCUUUGGGAGUGCCACGUCUUUCGCAGAUAUCCCCAUUUCUUUGCUAAAAUAAAGUAGAUAAAACCAGAUAAAAACUGGUUGUUGUCGAAGAUAACCGCUGAUAUAUCAUCGUAUAGAAAUAUGUACAUAUUUACAAGUAGAAAACCAGCGUCUAAAAUUGAACCAUAUUUUAAUCCAAUACGUACAACCAACAACCACAGCGACGACAAACUCUGCACCUUGAAGAUUUUUACAAUUCUUUCAAAAGCAGCAGCAACAUGUUGAUUUCCUAUUCAAAACAUUGCAUUGUGCCUAUAACAUCAUAUAAACAUAAUCAUCUUCUUUAGAGCGAGCAAAGAAAAAAGUGACACACUUUUAACAACUCGAGAUAGUUAAAGACUUGUAAAGUAUGUAAGUAAGUAAGUAAAGUAAGUUAGUAGUAAAAAUCUUACCCACACAACAAACCAACUUAUACUCUCUUCAUCAUCGCCCAAUCCACCAAACCAAACCAACGCCACUACCACUACCACUGCAAACAAUAAUAUAAGUAAAAAAGAAGAAAGAAACUUCUAAAAGCUAUCAUCGCCAAGUUGUGUACAUAGAUAUGCAACGUUACCACGUUUAUACGAGAUACAGCUUAUGCUUGUCUGGCAUCUCGUCUACCAAACCAAAUAGUAAACCAAAAACCACCUUUACUACAGAGAUUCGGGAUCAUGCAAAAUGUGUCAAUCAUCAUCAUCAUCUUCUUCUUCUUCUCCUUACAUACAUACCAAAUACCUAAAUAUGCUACCGAGCAUCGACACUCUUCUUACCCAACAACCCACUAACAAAGCUAAAAAAACACAUGAACAGAAUAGUACAAAAGCUCUCUACACGGGUUUUAUCCACCUAUCUGGAUCUCAAAUCCAGUUGCUUCUCUUUCCAGCAUGUUCAACAACAUUUCGACACUACUUACACGAAUGAUUAAAAUUCAGACAAGCGAGCAGUUAUAAAAGCCAUCCUCCAUUUUCUUUCACAAAGUGCAUGAAGGGUUUCAAUAAUGGGACAGGUAAGAAGACAAGUAGUAACAAUAUCAUCCACGACGGAACCAAGAAACAACCACUUUUAACUUUGAUGAGCAAAAAAACUGCAGUGUAAAGUAAGUAAGCAUACAAAGCCAAGCAACAGCUAGCCUAGAUCCAUCCUCUCUUCCUUCCCUUUGGACUACUACUGAAAACUAACUAUGACUGAUCUUCUCUAAUAUUCUCAUCAUAAUCCUUGCAAUUAUCGGAGCAGCACCACCCACCCACCGCAUACUGUCGUAAUUUAUUAUAAAGUAAAGCCAUCACCACGGAGUUCACUCGGGCAGUCCACCUUAUUUGUACAUAUCGCCAAUAUAAUAAUCAUACACCACGACGCCACAAAACACGGAACCGAUUAAAGAUAUUCUCCAAUGGACGCAUACUACUAUAAGCAGACGCUCCGAUCCUACUACACUGGGCCGGGAUUGAUUCGCACAAAUUCUAACAAUGGAUACAGUUCUUCCAUGCUGUACGCUGGACAACCUCUAAUCAAACAGUCGUCCUCGUCACCAACAAAGCCCACGAGCAAAUCAUCCUACUCCCCGUGGAACAGUUCGUCCUCGUCCUAUUCGAAUAAUGGGAACAACAAUUCGUCCUCGACUUGGGGAAAUGCGUCAAAUCAAAGCUACUCGUUCGGAUCAAAGAAGGAGGAAGUGAAGCAGGAAAACAAAAAGAACAAUGAAUCUGGAGGGGGCUCAAAAUCCAUCAACUUUGAGUCAAACAUUGGAGUUUUUAAUAGGCAACGCGAUCUCGAAAUCAGAAUUUCCUUCGGUUAAUAAUACCAACAAUUCAUCAUACAUAUAACCAAAAUGCUUAACAAACUUGGAAGAUACAAACAAAAUGAAAUAUCUGUCACAUU